rnacentral:rRNA from 1 species
AACGAACGCUGGCGGCAUGCCUAACACAUGCAAGUCGAACGAGAAAUAUCCUUCGGGAUAUGGAAAGUGGCGCACGGGUGAGUAAUGCAUAGAUAUCUACCUCGCACUGGGGGAUAACUAUUGGAAACAGUAGCUAAUACCGCAUACGCCAUAUUGGGAAAACUACGGUGGUGUGAGAUGAUUCUAUGUCCAAUUAGCUAGUUGGUAGGGUAAAGGCCUACCAAGGCGACGAUUGGUAGCGGGUUUGAGAGGAUGAUCCGCCACACUGGUACUGAGACACGGACCAGACUCCUACGGGAGGCAGCAGUGGGGAAUAUUGCGCAAUGGGCGAAAGCCUGACGCAGCAAUGCCGCGUGAGUGAUGAAGGAUUUCGGUCUGUAAAGCUCUUUCAGCAGGGAAGAUAAUGACGGUACCUGCAGAAGAAGUCCCGGCUAACUCCG